UACGGAGGGGGCUAGCGUUGUUCGGAAUUACUGGGCGUAAAGCGCACGUAGGCGGCUUUGUAAGUUAGAGGUGAAAGCCUGGAGCUCAACUCCAGAAUUGCCUUUAAGACUGCAUCGCUUGAACACGGGAGAGGUGAGUGGAAUUCCGAGUGUAGAGGUGAAAUUCGUAGAUAUUCGGAAGAACACCAGUGGCGAAGGCGGCUCACUGGACCGUUGUUGACGCUGAGGUGCGAAAGCGUGGGGGAGCAAACAGG
rnacentral:rRNA from 1 species